GAUGAACGCUGGCGGCGUGCCUAAUACAUGCAAGUCGAGCGAACAGACGAGGAGCUUGCUCCUCUGACGUUAGCGGCGGACGGGUGAGUAACACGUGGAUAACCUACCUAUAAGACUGGGAUAACUUCGGGAAGCCGGAGCUAAUACCGGAUAAUAUAUUGAACCGCAUGGUUCAAUAGUGAAAGACGGUUUUGCUGUCACUUAUAGAUGGAUCCGCGCCGCAUUAGCUAGUUGGUAAGGUAACGGCUUACCAAGGCGACGAUGCGUAGCCGACCUGAGAGGGUGAUCGGCCACACUGGAACUGAGACACGGUCCAGACUCCUACGGGAGGCAGCAGUAGGGAAUCUUCCGCAAUGGGCGAAAGCCUGACGGAGCAACGCCGCGUGAGUGAUGAAGGUCUUCGGAUCGUAAAACUCUGUUAUUAGGGAAGAGCAAAUGUGUAAGUAACUAUGCACGUCUUGACGGUACCUAAUCAGAAAGCCACGGCUAACUACGUG
rnacentral:rRNA from 1 species